rnacentral:rRNA from 1 species
AUGGCUGUGCCCUCCACCCAGAUCCGUCCGCCAUUGGCCCUGUAUUGUCCCUCCCGAUGGGAUCCAGCCUCCACCACUGCGCACGGUGCGACGGGAUCCACCACGGACGAGGAAAAGGCCGCGCGCGGGCGUCGUGAUGUGGUCGUCACGUGGCGCGGCACGAUCCAGGCUCUGGAUUGGGUCGACGAUCUUGAGUUCGCCAUAGUGCCGCCCAGAGUCCCCCUUUGUGAGGCCGCCUGCGCAGACGCUUGGUGCACCGCGGGUGGAUCUCCAUCUCCACCAACAACAGGGACAACGCCAGAGACCAGGCACGGGAUGUGCUGGACAUUGUUCAGUGUCAGGAGGUGA